rnacentral:rRNA from 1 species
UACGGGGGGAGCAAGCGUUGUUCGGAUUUACUGGGCGUAAAGGGCGCGUAGGCGGCCUCUGCAAGUCGACUGUGAAAUCUCCGGGCUUAACCCGGAACGGUCAGCCGAUACUGCAGGGCUAGAGUGCAGAAGGGGCAACUGGAAUUCUCGGUGUAGCGGUGAAAUGCGUAGAUAUCAGGAGGAACACCGAUGGCGAAGGCAGGUCUCUGGGCCACUACUGACGCUGAGAAGCGAAAGCAUGGGGAGCGAACGGG